AACCUCUUUUCUUUGGGAAGAAGCAAGUGACGGUACCAAAGGAAUAAGCCUCGGCUAACUCCGUGCCAGCAGCCGCGGUAAUACGGAGGAGGCAAGCGUUAUCCGGAAUCAUUGGGCGUAAAGCGUCCGCAGGUGGCACUUCAAGUCUGCUGUCAAAGGCUGGGGCUUAACCCUAGAAAGGCAGUGGAAACUGAAGAGCUAGAGUACGAUAGGGGUAGAGGGAAUUCCCGGUGUAGCGGUGAAAUGCGUAAAGAUCGGGAAGAACAUCGGUGGCGAAAGCGCUCUACUGGGUCGUAACUGACACUGAGGGACGAAAGCUAGGGGAGCGAAUGGGUUUAGAUACCCCAGUAGUC
rnacentral:rRNA from 1 species